CUAGCAUAUCAAUAAGCGGAGGAAAAGAAACCAACAGGGAUUGCUCUAGUAACGGCGAGUGAAGCAGCAAUAGCUCAAAUUUGAAAUCUGGCGUCUUCGACGUCCGAGUUGUAAUUUGUAGAGGAUGCUUCUGAGUAACCACCGACCUAAGUUCCUUGGAACAGGACGUCAUAGAGGGUGAGAAUCCCGUAUGCGGUCGGAAAGGUGCUCUAUACGUAGCUCCUUCGACGAGUCGAGUUGUUUGGGAAUGCAGCUCUAAAUGGGAGGUAAAUUUCUUCUAAAGCUAAAUAUUGGCCAGAGACCGAUAGCGCACAAGUAGAGUGAUCGAAAGAUGAAAAGCACUUUGGAAAGAGAGUUAAAAAGCACGUGAAAUUGUUAAAAGGGAAGGGAUUGCAACCAGACUUGCUCGCGGUGUUCCGCCGGUCUUCUGACCGGUCUACUCGCCGCGUUGCAGGCCAGCAUCGUCUGGUGCCGCUGGAUAAGACUUGAGGAAUGUAGCUCCCUCGGGAGUGUUAUAGCCUCUUGUGAUGCAGCGAGCGCCGGGCGAGGUCCGCGCUUCGGCUAGGAUGCUGGCGUAAUGGUCGUAAUCCGCCCGUCUUGAAACACGGACCAAGGAGUCUAACAUCUAUGCGAGUGUUCGGGUGUCAAACCCCUACGCGUAAUGAAAGUGAACGGAGGUGAGAACCGCAAGGUGCAUCAUCGACCGAUCCUGAUGUCUUCGGAUGGAUUUGAGUAAGAGCAUAGCUGUUGGGACCCGAAAGAUGGUGAACUAUGCCUGAAUAGGGUGAAGCCAGAGGAAACUCUGGUGGAGGCUCGCAGCGGUUCUGACGUGCAAAUCGAUCGUCAAAUUUGGGUAUAGGGGCGAAAGACUAAUCGAACCAUCUAGUAGCUGGUUCUGC
rnacentral:rRNA from 1 species